rnacentral:rRNA from 1 species
GUGCCAGCCGCCGCGGUAAUACGGAGGGUGCAAGCGUUGUUCGGAAUUACUGGGCGUAAAGCGCGUGUAGGCGGCUUGGCAAGUCGGAUGUGAAAUCCCCGGGCUCAACCCGGGAACUGCAUCCGAAACUGCUUCGCUAGAGUCUCGGAGAGGAAGGCAGAAUUCCCAGUGUAGGGGUGAAAUCCGUAGAUACUGGGAGGAAUACCGGCAGCGAAGGCGGCCUUCUGGACGAUGACUGACGCUGAGACGCGAAAGCGUGGGGAGCAAACAGGAUUAGAAACCCCCGUAGUCC